rnacentral:rRNA from 1 species
GUUUGAUCCUGGCUCAGGACGAACGCUGGCGGCGUGCUUAACACAUGCAAGUCGAACGGGGUAUCAGGGUAGUAAUACCCGAAGUACCUAGUGGCGAACGGGUGCGUAACACGUGAGCAACCUACCCCAGAGCUUGGAAUAACACCGGGAAACCGGUGCUAAUACCGAAUACUCUCAUUUGGCCGCAUGACUGAAUGAGGAAAGAUUUAUCACUCCGGGACGGGCUCGCGGCCUAUCAGCUUGUUGGUGAGGUAACGGCUCACCAAGGCUACGACGGGUAGCUGGUCUGAGAGGACGAUCAGCCACACUGGGACUGAGACACGGCCCAGACUCCUACGGGAGGCAGCAGUGGGGAAUAUUGCGCAAUGGGCGAAAGCCUGACGCAGCAACGCCGCGUGGAGGAUGAAGGCUUUCGGGUUGUAAACUCCUUUCAGCAGGGACGAAACUGACGGUACCUGCAGAAGAAGCCCCGGCUAACUACGUGCCAGCAGCCGCGGUGAGACGUAGGGGGCAAGCGUUGUCCGGAUUUAUUGGGCGUAAAGAGCUCGUAGGCGGCUUGGCAAGUCGGA